UACGUAGGGUGCGAGCGUUGUCCGGAAUUACUGGGCGUAAAGAGCUCGUAGGUGGUUUGUCGCGUUGUUCGUGAAAACUCACAGCUUAACUGUGGGCGUGCGGGCGAUACGGGCAGACUGGAGUACUGCAGGGGAGACUGGAAUUCCUGGUGUAGCGGUGGAAUGCGCAGAUAUCAGGAGGAACACCGGUGGCGAAGGCGGGUCUCUGGGCCGUUACUGACGCUGAGGAGCGAAAGCGUGGGGAGCAAACAGG
rnacentral:rRNA from 1 species